rnacentral:snoRNA from 1 species
ACGACCUUACUUGAACAGGAUCUGUUCUAUAGGCUCGUACCGCUGCAUCCUUUACCAAUAAGGAGGCAAGCACUUCAGUCUGGUUGAUGUAUUCUGACCUCUGGGCCAGAGCGUGAUUAACGGCCAGGAUUUCUCUGAUGGGGCAAUCUAACGGCUGUAGAGGAUCGUUCCUGCCUGGCUCUCAUGCCUGACAGGGUGGCCCAGAGGUUGUCUGACAGACU